rnacentral:rRNA from 1 species
AUGUUAUUGCUGUUGGCCCUGCUGCUGCUAUGUAACAAUGGAAUCGGUGACGUUGAAGGCUCAACGAUCCAUGAUAGUAGCAUCGUCGAUCUGCAUGCGCUGCUCGAUUUCAAGCUGGGUAUCACCGACGAUCCACGAGGAGCAUUAAGCAACUGGAGCAACAACACCCACUUCUGUCGGUGGAAUGGUGUAAACUGCACCACGACACCACCGUUUCGUGUUAGGGUGCUUAACCUCUCCGGCCUGAACAUAACAGGCAAAAUUAGGUCCUCUCUGGGAAACAUGACCUUCCUUGCAUGGCUCGACCUUUCAUCUAAUAACUUUGUUGGCCCCAUACUUACCCUUGACCGUCUCCAACAACUAGACACACUUUACCUGUACGACAACCAUCUACAUGGGACGAUUCCUGAUUCACUUACCAACUGUUCCAGCUUGGCCCUAGUGGGUGUAAUUCCUCCGAAACUACACUUUCUUUCACAUCUUUUCUACUUUAACCUCUCAUUAAACUCCAUAGUUGGUCAAAUCCCUCCGAAACUAGGAUUUCUUUCAGAUCUGACCGUCUUAGAUCUCUCAGUAAACUCGCUAGUGGGUCAAAUUCCUCCCAAACUAGGCCUCCUUUCAAAUCUGAUCUACUUGGAUCUCUCCAUAAACUUGCUAGUGGGUCAAAUUCCUCCAAGUUUAGGCUUUCUUCCAAAUCUAGCAUAUAUCCAUCUUCGAUCAAAUCAACUUGAGGGAAGCAUUCCUCGCGAGCUUGGGCAAUUGCUUGAACUAAAAGAGUUGUUCCUGAGCGAUAAUAAGCUUUCAGGUGAACUAGUAUAG